rnacentral:rRNA from 1 species
GGUGUUCGGGUUGUCAUGCCAAUGGCACUGCCCGGUAGCUAAAUGCGGAAGAGAUAAGUGCUGAAAGCAUCUAAGCACGAAACUUGCCCCGAGAUGAGUUCUCCCUGAGACUAUAAGUCUCCUGAAGGAACGUUGAAGACGACGACGUUGAUAGGCCGGGUGUGUAAGCGCAGCGAUGCGUUGAGCUAACCGGUACUAAUGAACCGUGAGGCUUAACCUUACAACGCCGAAG